GCUUGCCUGGCUCCCUGAAUGCCAUGUAAGAUGCUUUUGCCAAAAGGAAUGGUGACCUUUUUAUUUGGCAUUUGGAGAGCCAUGCAGGC
rnacentral:pre_miRNA from 1 species